AAAAAGCAUGGUGUCCUGGCCUGUGUGUCACACUCAGCAUUUGGCAUUUGUUUCCAGAUCCCUAACUAGUAAAAAAAAGUUGCUAUUAAAGUUUCUGUCGAAGCAGGGAGAAAAAGAUCGGAGGCACAUUUGCAGAGGUCCAGAAAGAUCAUCAGAGGAGUGGCUGCUCCUAACUGGGCUUCUCAGAUGUGGUCUGGCUCUGCCCUCCUAUCCCUCAUCCCCCUGGGACUACAGGACUAACCAAGACAUGUUCUUCUCAUAUUUGGCCCUUAUUCUCCUACUGGAAUUCUGGAUUAUCCAAGUUAAAAUUCUCAUCUUUUCCCUUGUAUUUUGAAGUUGGAAAACCUGAGCUAGUGGGAGCACUUUAAAAAUCUGGACUGAAAAUAUCAAAAACUCUGUUGCUCACUUGGGAAAUAGAUAUUUGCCCAAAGAAGACCAAUCCUGGGUAAGUUGUGAGGUAUUGAAGAACAGUGAAAGGACGCAUUAAGCCCCAUUUCUACACUGAGACCUCUCAAAGCAUAUCUCCAGCUCAGAUUUUCCUACUGAGCUACAGACCAGUAUAUCCUCCUGGAUGUCCCACAGUUCUCAUUCCCAUGAUCUAGGAUGCUUCCAA
rnacentral:lncRNA from 1 species